GGGCCCGCACAAGCGGUGGAUUAUGUGGAUUAAUUCGAUGCAACGCGAAAAACCUUACCUAGCCUUGACAUGUACCGAAUUUAGCAGAGAUGCUUUAGUGCUCGUAAGAGAACGGUAACACAGGUGCUGCAUGGCUGUCGUCAGCUCGUGUCGUGAGAUGUUGGGUUAAGUCCCGCAACGAGCGCAACCCUUGCCAUUAAUUGCCAUCAUUUAGUUGGGCACUUUAAUGGGACUGCCGGUGACAAACCGGAGGAAGGUGGGGAUGACGUCAAGUCCUCAUGGCCCUUAUGGCUAGGGCUUCACACGUAAUACAAUGGUCGGUACAGAGGGUAGCCAACCCGCGAGGGGAGCCAAUCCCAGAAAGCCGAUCGUAGUCCGGAUUGUUGUCUGCAACUCGACAGCAUGAAGUCGGAAUCGCUAGUAAUCG
rnacentral:rRNA from 1 species